rnacentral:rRNA from 1 species
GAUAACCCGUUUUCGGAGGAGGAGGUUUGGCAGGCGAUUUGUGCUUCUCCGCAGGAAAAAGCGCCUGGGCCGGAUGGCUUCAACAGAGCCUUCUUCCGAGCAUGCUGGUCGGUCAUUAAGCUCGAUGUCAUGGCAGUUUUCCACCAGUUCUAUCACCUAGCAGGAGGAGACGUGGCCGCAUCAACCGGGCAAUGA